rnacentral:rRNA from 1 species
UUGACCUCAAAUCAGGUAGGACUACCCGCUGAACUUAAGCAUAUCAAUAAGCGGAGGAAAAGAAACUAACAAGGAUUCCCCUAGUAACUGCGAGUGAAGCGGGAAAAGCUCAAAUUUAAAAUCUGGCGGUCUCUGGCCGUCCGAGUUGUAAUCUAGAGAAGUGUUAUCCGCGCUGGACCGUGUACAAGUCUCCUGGAAUGGAGCGUCAUAGAGGGUGAGAAUCCCGUCUUUGACACGGACUGCCAGGGCUUUGUGAUGCGCUCUCAAAGAGUCGAGUUGUUUGGGAAUGCAGCUCAAAAUGGGUGGUAAAUUCCAUCUAAAGCUAAAUAUUGGCGAGAGACCGAUAGCGAACAAGUACCGUGAGGGAAAGAUGAAAAGAACUUUGGAAAGAGAGUUAAACAGUACGUGAAAUUGCUGAAAGGGAAACGCUUGAAGUCAGUCGCGUUGGCCGGGGAUCAACCUUGCUUUUGCUGGGCGUACUUUCCGGUUGACGGGUCAGCAUCAAUUUUGACCGUUGGAUAAAGUCCAGGGGAAUGUGGCAUCUUCGGAUGUGUUAUAGCCCUUGGUCGCAUACAACGGUUGGGAUUGAGG